ACGCUGGCGGCAGGCCUAACACAUGCAAGUCGAGCGGUAGAGAGAGGCUUGCUUCUCUUGAGAGCGGCGGACGGGUGAGUAAUGCCUAGGAAUCUGCCUGGUAGUGGGGGAUAACGUCCGGAAACGGACGCUAAUACCGCAUACGUCCUACGGGAGAAAGCAGGGGACCUUCGGGCCUUGCGCCAUCAGAUGAGCCUAGGUCGGAUUAGCUAGUUGGUGGGGUAAUGGCUCACCAAGGCGAUGAUCCGUAACUGGUCUGAGAGGAUGAUCAGUCACACUGGAACUGAGACACGGUCCAGACUCCUACGGGAGGCAGCAGUGGGGAAUAUUGGACAAUGGGCGAAAGCCUGAUCCAGCCAUGCCGCGUGUGUGAAGAAGGUCUUCGGAUUGUAAAGCACUUUAAGUUGGGAGGAAGGGCAGUAAAUUAAUACUUUGCUGUUUUGACGUUACCGACAGAAUAAGCACCGGCUAACUCUGUGCCAGCAGCCGCGGUAAUACAGAGGGUGCAAGCGUUAAUCGGAAUUACUGGGCGUAAAGCGCGCGUAGGUGGUUCGUUAAGUUGGACGUGAAAUCCCCGGGCUCAACCUGGGAACUGCAUUCAAAACUGACGAGCUAGAGUAUGGUAGAGGGUGGUGGAAUUUCCUGUGUAGCGGUGAAAUGCGUAGAUAUAGGAAGGAACACCAGUGGCGAAGGCGACCACCUGGACUGAUACUGACACUGAGGUGCGAAAGCGUGGGGAGCAAAC
rnacentral:rRNA from 1 species